GGGGAAUUUUGGACAAUGGGCGCAAGCCUGAUCCAGCAAUGCCGCGUGCAGGAAGAAGGCCUUCGGGUUGUAAACUGCUUUUGUCAGGGAAGAAAUCCUCUGGGUUAAUACCUCGGGGGGACGACGGUACCUGAAGAAUAAGCACCGGCUAACUACGUGCCAGCAGCCGCGGUAAUACGUAGGGUGCGAGCGUUAAUCGGAAUUACUGGGCGUAAAGCGUGCGCAGGCGGUUGUGCAAGACAGGUGUGAAAUCCCCGGGCUUAACCUGGGAACUGCACUUGUGACUGCACGGCUAGAGUACGGUAGAGGGGGAUGGAAUUCCGCGUGUAGCAGUGAAAUGCGUAGAUAUGCGGAGGAACACCGGUGGCGAAGGCAAUCCCCUGGACCUGUACUGACGCUCAUGCACGAAAGCGUGGGGAGCAAAC
rnacentral:rRNA from 1 species